AACAAUGAAGAGUUUUCAGAGUGACAAAAAGUACAAAAAUAAUAGUGUAGGUUUCAUGGGCUUGUAUUUUGUCUAUGGAAAAUGAGUAUUGAAUGAAAACAAUGAAAUGCGCAUAGAAAAUGAUGGAAUUAGCUCACAGCAAUGAUUGAAGAUUAUUCCUAACACAUAGACGAAACUAGGAAAAAACAUUGCACUUAAUUUGGACAAGAAAUGAGUUCAAACGAAAGCAUACAAGUUGACACAAAAAUCAUGUUGAUGUUGGGCGGAAAAAAAAUGGCAGAGCGAAAUUAAAGCAUAUGUAAGCUAUUCUACUCUAGCAUGCAAUUCCUAAGAUGAUAAAAAACCUAAGGCUCAUGAUACUACAUGAUG
rnacentral:lncRNA from 1 species